rnacentral:rRNA from 1 species
UACGUAGGGGGCAAGCGUUGUUCGGAAUGACUGGGCGUAAAGGGUGCGUAGGCGGUGUAGCAAGUUAGAAGUGAAAUACCUAGAGCUUAACUCAGGUGCUGCUUCUAAAACUGCUAUACUUGAGUGCAGUAGAGGAAAGUGGAAUUCCUAGUGUAGCGGUGGAAUGCGUAGAUAUUAAGAGGAACAUCAGUGGGGAAGGCGACUUUCUGGACUGUAACUGACGCUGAGGCACGAAAGUGUGGGGAGCAAACAGG